UACAGAGGGGGCAAGCGUUGUUCGGAAUUACUGGGCGUAAAGCGUGCGUAGGCGGUUGGUUAAGUCUGUCGUGAAAGCCCUGGGCUCAACCUGGGAAUGGCGAUGGAUACUGGCCAGCUAGAGUGUGAUAGAGGAUGGCGGAAUUCCCGGUGUAGCGGUGAAAUGCGUAGAGAUCGGGAGGAACAUCCGUGGCGAAGGCGGCCAUCUGGAUCAACACUGACGCUGAGGCACGAAAGCGUGGGGAGCAAACAGG
rnacentral:rRNA from 1 species